AAGACGAAUCCAACGAGAUAUCACUCAUUAAAAUCGGAGACUCGGAAAUCGGCUUGUUCCCCAAUCACCUGAAGAUUUGGCGCUAUCACUCUUAAGAUUUUCCCCUGUUUCUCCUGAAUCAGGCCAGUUUCCAUGGUUCCGGAUAAAUAGAGUAGGGCAAUUUUUCUUAAGAAUAGAAGCCACUCCAUGGGUGGAAUUUGUAUCAUAUACAGAUACAAAUUUAGGUUUGCUUUACAAAAAUUCAGAUUU